UACGUAGGGCGCAAGCGUUAUCCGGAAUUAUUGGGCGUAAAGAGCUCGUAGGCGGUUUGUCGCAUCUGCCGUGAAAGUCCGGGCUCAACUCCGGAUCUGCGGUGGGUACGGGCAGACUAGAGUGAUGUAGGGAGACUGGAAUUCCUGGUGUAGCGGUGAAAUGCGCAGAUAUCAGGAGGAACACCGAUGGCGAAGGCAGGUCUCUGGGCAUUAACUGACGCUGAGGAGCGAAAGCAUGGGGAGCGAACAGG
rnacentral:rRNA from 1 species